rnacentral:rRNA from 1 species
UACGUAGGGUGCGAGCGUUAAUCGGAAUUACUGGGCGUAAAGCGUGCGCAGGCGGUUUUGUAAGUCAGAUGUGAAAUCCCCGGGCUUAACCUGGGAACUGCGUUUGAAACUACAAGGCUAGAGUGUGGCAGGGGGGGGUGGAAUUCCACGUGUAGCAGUGAAAUGCGUAGAGAUGUGGAGGAACACCGAUGGCGAAGGCAGCCCCCUGGGUUAACACUGACGCUCAGGCACGAAAGCGUGGGGAGCAAACAGG